CCUACGGGUGGCAGCAGUAGGGAAUUUUGCGCAAUGGGGGAAACCCUGACGCAGCAACGCCGCGUGAUCGAUGAAGCCCUUCGGGGUGGAAAGAUCUGUCAGUGGGGACGAAACCUGACGGUACCCACAGAGGAAGCACCGGCUAACUCCGUGCCAGCAGCCGCGGUAAUAUGGUGGGUGCAACCGUUGUCCGGAAUCAUUGGGCGUAAAGGGUUCGUAGGUGGCUCGUUAAGUCUGGUGGUAAAGGCGGAAGGUCAACGUCCGUAGGGCACUGGAUACUGGCGGGCUUGAGUGCGGUAGAAGUAAAGGGAAUGCCUGGUGUAGCGGUGAAAUGCGUAGAUAUCAGGAGGAACAUCGGUGGCGAAGGCGCUUUACCGGGCCGUAAUUGACACUGAGGAACGAAAGCCGGGGUAGCGAAUGGGAUUAGAUACCCUUGUAGUC
rnacentral:rRNA from 1 species